UUAAGUUCAGUGGGUAUCCCUACCUGAUCCGAGGUCAACCUGGAAAAAUUUUGGGGUUGUUGGCAAGCUACCUACCGGUCUCAAUCGCGAGGAGUAUUACUACGCGUAGAGCCGACAGGCACCGCCACUGAUUUUAGGGGCCGCGAGACCGCGAACCCCAAUACCAAGCAAAUGCUUGAGUGGUUAUAAUGACGCUCGAA
rnacentral:misc_RNA from 1 species